AGGGGUAUAGCUCAAAUGGCAGAGCAUCGGUCUCCAAAACCGGAGGUUGGGGGUUCAAUUCCCUCUACCCCUG
rnacentral:tRNA from 1 species